rnacentral:lncRNA from 1 species
AGUGGCAAAAUCCAGUGAAGAGAGAGAGGAAAAAGAUGCUCAACAUGAAAAAUGAGGGAGGAAACUCUCCUAUGCUGCCGCCCGAAGUGAUGAUGGUGCACUGCCUAAGGCAGCAGUGAACCCCCUGGCGCACUGCAGGUGCACAACCCUCUCUACCACAUGCGCAAGACCCAGGUGCACUGGAUACCGUGCAUGCAAGCCUACUGCGUGUAGGCCCUAAGCGUAUAGGGGCCUUUCAGUGUAGGCCUUCUGCGCCGAUGGCCCGUUUGCUCGCGUCACACAGGUACAGG